rnacentral:lncRNA from 1 species
CCAAGCCUAUGAAAACCCUAUAAAUACCAUUAUUCUCUUCAUAUUCCAUACCAAAUUCCUUCGCCGAAAUUCAAGACUUUCUCCAAUUCUUCAGCCAUCACUUGAGCUGUAUCUGCAGAGUGAAAUUACAAUGGCGACUCCUAGUGCUUAUCUUGCGGAAGCUUAUGUGAUGAAGAAACAAUACAAGGAGAAGAUGAAGACAGAACUGGAAACUAAUGGCGCCAAAAAGUAACAUAAUAAUCCUAAAACCUCAUCCUCCUCCUCCUCCUCCUCCUCCUCCUCUUCUUCUACUUCGGCUGGUUGCUUUUCCAUGAAAAUAUUCAAGAAAGUCCAUCCAAAAACCUCUCCUCCGCCAUCGGAUUCCGCCGUGACAUGCCGUGGAGUAGGAUAUGAGAGCUAACAGCUGCUAUAGCUACAUAUAUUAAUUACUGUUCUAGGAAUGUUUUUAAAGCCACUGUAUUGUUUUUUCUUUUUCGUUUCUUUAUUUGAUAAGUUUGGAAUUCAUGAACUCAACUAGAGUGAAGAAGUUCAUGAUAAUUAAAAAGAUUUACUUGUAUUAUACGAAUUUUAAUAUGUUUCUUCUUUUUGUAAGCGUAUUUUUUGAAUAUAUAUCCAAACAAAUGAAAAAGAAAAGAAACAAGUCUUUGUUCAAAAUUAUGUUAAGGGAAACCCUUAAAUUCUUAUAUAUUAUCGCAGUUUAUUUAAUUAAUUAGUCGAUCAGUUCACGCGAAACAAUGACAUUUUCUGCCACGAUCCGAAUCUAUCAUGUGGUGAUGGCGCCUAUCGUGGUACUAGGCAAGCCGACACAUUACCAAAACCAAUCAAUAUUCUCAUUCUUAAGAUAAAAUCAAAGCUAUUUAACAAUAAACCUUCAUAAAGUGUUUAAAUCAAACAAUAGUGUGGAAAGACAAGCCCGACAUCGGAGGAGGGGGGUGUCACUAGUCAUGAACAUCUACUAAGAACUGUCCCAACUAAUAACAUCUAUAGGAAGAUAAGAGGGAGAAGAGCAGGGCUGCGAUCGUCAUGCAACUACCUUGCUAACUCCAACAGAUCCGCAACAGAUUAAAACAACACUCACUAGCACGUCCAGCAACCCCUGGAUCUGCACACAAGGUGCAGGGAGUAAUGUGGGUACGCCAACUCAGUAAGUAAUAAAAGUAAAUAAAGACUGGGCAGUAGUGACGAACAAUAAAACAUAUAGAGUUCAUAUCAUGAAAUCUAAGAAGAAUAUAGCAGGCUUUUAAAAUCAGGAUUUUGAAUCAACUCAGCUCAUUUAAAUCCAGUUUCAGUGAAACCAUUUAAAACAUCUUUUAACAGUUUCAAACGAAGUGAUAAAAACAGUGAGUAGAAAUGAUGAAAACAUAAUUAGCCCCUCAGGCAAAAUUCAAUCGUAUGCAGCCCCUCGGACAAACAUAAAUCAUAAACAGCCCCUCGGGCAAACAUCAGUCGUAUAUAGCCCCUCGGGCAAACAUGAAUCAUAAACAACCCCUCGGGCAAAAAUCACUGUCACUCAUAUACAGUCCCUCAGACAUACCUCACAAUCACUCGUAAAAAGCCCAUCGGGCACAACAUGAAUCAAGAACAGCCCCAUGGGGCAAAACAUCAUAUCACUCACUUAGAGUACUCGCGCGCACUGGGAGUGUACAGACUCCGGAGGGGCUCCUAUAUCCCAAGCGCUACAACAAGCCACCUCGUGGCAUAAAUCAAUCAGGCCAUCAGCCUCACAAAAUCAUGAAUCAGUAACAACAUGUUGCGGUGUGCAGCUCGAUCCCAUAAAUAUCCUCACAAAACAGGCCCUCGGCCUCACUAAGCCAUAAACCUCUCAAGCUACUCGGGUUAUCAGUAAAACAUGGUGCUCAGCCUAAAAUAACAUUUUUUAUACAUCAAAACAGAGUAAUAAAGAAUGAGUUACAAAAUCAGUAAGUAUAACAUGACUGAGUAUAGAUUUUCAAUCAAAAUCAGUGAGAGGAUAGUAAGAAAAAUGCCCCUAAGGUUCCAAACAGCUCUGCCACAAGGCCCAAACAUGGCAUUCAGCCCAAUUUACAGAAACUCUUUCUAAAAUACAUAAGUAUCCUAUAGUUUCAAUCAAAUACGCAACUUAUAGUUGCUAUGGGAUGGAUCAAGUCACAAAAAUCCUCAAUGGUGCACGCCCACACAUCCGUCACUAGUAUGCGCGUCACCUCAAAGGAGUAAAAAAAUGUGAAAUCCGUAGUUUCAUACCCUCAUAACUAGAUUUACAAUCAUACUUACCUCAAACAAGCCAAUCCCAAUACCGAGCAAGCCAAGUGAUGCUCCAAAAAUGUCAUCUUGCGCGUUCCGACCUCUGAACGGCUCGAAACUAACCAAAAAUAACUCAAUAUUCUCAAACAAUGCUAAAGUAACCAAUCCCAAUCGAAAAAGAUCGAAUCUUUAAUCAAAAGCCCAAAAUCGCCAAAAAUUCCAACCCCGGCCCAUAUCUCGGAACCCCAGAAAACUCAUAAAAUCCAACAAUUCAUUCAAUUAUGAGUCCAACCAUACUAGUUUUAUCCAAUUUCGACUCCGAAUCGAUGUUCAAAACUUUUUUCACUUUAUGAAACUUUAGGAAAAAACCCCCCAAAUUUACUUUAAAAUCAUCAAUCAAAUGCCAAAAUGAAGAUGGAUUCAUGAAUAUAAAAAAACAGAGUAGAGAACACUUACCCAAUACAUAUGGUGAAAAUUGCCACCAAAAUCGCCUAAAUCCGAGCUCCCCAACUCAAAAUAUGACCAAAUGAACAAACUCUUAUUUUAUAUAUUUUUCUACCUCGUUUUUAUGCCAAACGAUCCCAAAACUUGCUUUUGAUACUUCUAAUAGAUUUCUUGUGAAAUUUUAGCCAAGUUAGGCUUUUGAAUCACUCCAUUUGACCUUAUAUUGAAGGAGAUAUGUUGGUUUUAAUAUUUGAAAAUAGUGCAGAUUUUUAAAUACGAAUUCAGUGGCAAUUUCAUAAUUAAUCUGAAAAUUUUGGCAACCCAAUUCUUAGUAAAAUGACCAUAAAAUCCUCAUACGAUGUCCAAAUUUAACGAUUCUUUUUGCUAUAGCUCCGUAAUUACAAUACGGAUCUAAAUUUUUUUAAUAAAAAUAGAAAUCAGAGCUCAUUUGCUUAAUGUAGUACUAGUUAUGCUUGAAAAACGACAUUGAAACAUAAAAAUGAGCGCCCAAACCUAUCCGAAACUCACCCGAGCCCCUUGGAACCCUGUUCGAACAUACCAACAAGUCCCUUAUCAUAACACGGACCUACUUGAGGCCUCAAAACACACAUAACAAAAUCGAAACAACGAAUCACACCUCAAUUCGAAAUCAAUGAACUUCAAACUUCUACAACCGAUGCCGAAACCUAUCAAAUCACGUCCGAUUGACCUUAAAUUUUGCACACAAAUCACAGUUAACAUUAUGGACCUGCUCUAACUUUCAAAAUCGGAAUCCAACCUCGAUAUCAAAAAGUCCACUCCGGUCAAACUUUCCAAAAUUCCAACUUUCACUAUUUCAAGCCAAAUUCUACUACGGACCUCCAAAUCACAAUACAGAUACGCUCCUAAGUUCAAAAUCACCCAACGGAGCUAAGGGAACCAUCAGAAAUCCAAUCCGAGGUCAAAUUCUAAAAAGUCAAAACUUGGUCAAACCUUUCAAAUUUAAAGCUUCUAGCUGAGAACCAUUCUUCCAAAUCAAUUCUGAAUAACCCGAAAACCAAAACGGACAAUUCUCAUAAGUCAUAAUACUUCAUACGGAACUACUCAUAUUCUCAAACAAUCAAGCGAAGUGCAAUUGCUCAAAACGACCGGUCGGGUCGUUACAUCCUCCCCCACUUGAACAUACGUUCGUCCUCGAACGUAUCCAGAGUUGUUACAAAAGCCAUCAACUUGCUGUAUAAUCUCACUAUGCACAUAUCCGGGGGUGAUCUCAUGUCACCCUAUUCCAUAUAGGUUUGAUAACACAACAUGACUGAAAUUUCUUAAUCCAACCUAGUCCAUAAGUCUUAGGGCCCAAUUUCCAACAUCUAGAAUUUUCUAUAAGAGUAGAACAUCGCAUCUAUACACUGUAUAAGUCCGAACAAGCUGUAUCAAACCAUAUUAGUAACCCAAGAUAUAAUCACAUGAUAUACCACAUAACUCAAACACUCAUGGCGAUAACUCCUAAUUACAGUAGCUGCUCAAAACAACCCAAUACUGGUAAUACACUUUUUAACAAACAAAGCCUCGUUCUAACACUUUCAUAUACUGCCAAUGAUGAAAGAAACAUGCAGAAACUCAUAACCAUUUGUCAGAUCAACAAGUCAUGGAUCUCCCUCUUCUCCAAUAGGAACUAUAGCAGAUUUCUAACUCGACUUCCGAUAUAAUCCUUUCAACCAUGCUGUAACCAAUUCUGAUUGUAUCUAUUCUAGGUCCAAUGACCUCAUCUCAUCCAACACUACCACUCCGAUGAUAUGACACAUCAAUACAAACCAAAACCAUAACCUGUAGAAUUUGUGCACCCAAUAGCAACAUCCCAAAUGUACUCAAAUCAUGAAAAGAAAUGACUCAGAGAGGGCUGUCCUGCAAGCUUAACAAGUACUGCCACAACGAAAUACUGAAAAUAUAUCCAUCACACCCCAUAAGACCAUCACAUGAAUCUAAUACAAAGAUUCAUACAACAACAUAAUUUCACUGCAAUGCUUGCCCAUCCAAAUACUAAUCCAUGGCAUAUACCUCAAGCCACCUUGCUCAUAAUAAAUAACCACGUGCAAUUCGACAUCAAAUACUCAAAGUGCAUUACCAUAACCACGGAGAAGAAAAUGACAUAACGUCACACAAAACCCAAAAGAACAUAACCAAUUUGUCAUCCACCAAGCAAUACCCGAUACCUUUCCCACUCAAAUUCCGCUAUAAGAUCCCAAUAGAACCGCACCAUAUGUGCAUAUAACCAACUAAUCAUAACCCCUUGUAACACAGAAGAGUAGCUCAAAGAUCACUCCAGAACACAAAUAAGCUCAGCAACAAUCGAAUGGCACAUCCCUCAACAAUAGCAGUUCAGAGUCAACAAAUCCGACCAAUGCAGAACACACCUCCAUAUUGGGCCUACCAAUGAACCCCAAAUCAGCUCUGGUCUCCCACGAUAGAUAAGUAACCAUCUGAAAGUCUACAGUAAUUGAAUCACAACACAUAUUAACCUUUGACUAACCUUGGAUACUUUUUACGAUCUACACCACGAAACAAUCUACUCACGAGAACUCCCAUUCUCCAAAUUCAUAGAACAUACGAAUCACAAUCUCUGAUCUCAACUCCACCGCCUGAAUGCCACACUUCUCCAAUUACACAGUCACCCCACGAGAAAUACUUCUAAAAUUCUUCCGUGCCACAAAGAAAAAUUUGAACUCCAAUAGUGGAUCAAACAAAAGAGUGCCGCAAUACCAAUAAAUUAUCAAUAACUCCCACACAUCACUUUUCUGAAAUGUAUACUCUCAUUAAGCCAUACCAGUUAGUAAUAUCAUUUACCUAGUCAUCUGAAAAUGUCUAUGCUGCCUAAGAAUUUAUGAAAUUCCUUUCAGAACUGAACUAUGACCUUACACAUGCAAAUCUCAAUCCUACACAACAUACUGCAUAUAUCAUGCCAUCCUAUAAUAAAUAUGAGAACUUCAUAAUCCACUCUGAGUCACAAGCAACUACGUGCUCAACUAGCCAAGAACUUUCUAUUUGAUCCCAUCUAAGAGAAAAUCACUAUACAUCACAUGCUCUUCACGCCAGUAGAAGAUAUACCUUUCUAACCGUGGUAGAAACCAUCAAGAACUCUCCGAAUCCUAUUUGCUCAAAACCCAACCGUCAGGACUGAAUCCUUCUAACCCAACCAAGCUACGCAGGUCACCAAAACUCAAGAACAUUGCAAUGAAAUACCUAUAGAAACUCAUUACCUCAUAAACACCCAAAGAACUAAUCAUACCCAUUAUCAUGUCGAUCAAACCUACUACUAAGCUGUCCUAUCUAUCUGAGUUCCUUUUGAAUUGCAUUCACAUUGAUACUUCUCCUUACCAUAAUACCUCAAUCCUCAGCCUCAACUCACCACACGAGACCCUAACAUAAGCCACAUUGCCCUGAGGCUCAUAAGUCGCUGAAUUCUCUCUUAAGCACCCCAAAAGUACCACAAUCGAGAUACCCACUCUGAAAAGACCUUCUGUGAAUUUCAAGUUGUUCAUCUUACUUUCCUGAUACUGAAAUGUAGAAUCCAUAACGAUGUAGAAAUAUUGCGAGCCACGACACCAUCCAAAGUAACUCUUAGCUUCUAGCCACAUACAAACUCGCAAAAAUUCUCAAUUGCAACAUAUAAAUUUUAAAUUCAUUAGAACCAUUCUCGAAAGUUAUCCACUUUGCUCAAAUCUCAAUUAGACUGAUCAAACGGGCUGAUCGACUUAUGCCCCAUUAACGCUCCAACACCCAAGGAUGUAACCCCACCUUAAUGCAACUAGAUAAAUUUAUGCUCCACGCACAUUACAUCCUUCAUCAAUAACAAUCAUUCCAUGAUUCUCAUAUACUCAUAAAACCUAAUACAACUCGUAUCCAUAAAUUCCCUUUACUCAAGUCAUCCUUGAUGUCAAACUCUACAAGUCAUAACUGAUUCACCAGUAUACCUCAAACUGAAACUAAUACAAAUCUUAGCCGUGCAAUCAACUUAUCAAUAGCAGACUCCCCCAUUUGUCUCAAAGCCAUAGAUCAAAACACUCAAAAACUCACAAUGUCCAUACUCUAUUACCGCCAUAAUACCAUAGUGAGAUUAAACUAAAUCCUGCAUAAGCUCGUGCAACACAAAUCAUCUAGUACCUCAAAUCAUCUACAAAUCUCGCAUUCACCCUCGUAAUAGUCAAGCCCACUCUCAUAAGUGAUCCAAACUCAAGUUGCAACACACAUAUUUCACUGGUAAAAGCGUACUUCCAACAAACAACAUUUGGAUCACACACCCUUAGGACACUCCGCCGGAGAUAGCCCACCUGCUUUGCCUUAAACUAACAUCUCUUCAUACCCUUCCACCGUCAUAAAUAUCAUGCAAUCACUUAAUCUUCAUGAGUCUGAACUCAUAUCACGACAUGAAAUCUACUUCACUCCCUAACUAAAAAACAUGAAAAGAUCCUUCAACACACCCAUAACUCGGGGCUAUUCAUCAAAUCAAGAUAGAAAUCAAGAACCAAAAUAGUUCUUUCUACCCUCAAGAAGACCCUUCUUGUCACUGUCAUGACCCAAAAUCAGAGGACCACGACUGGCACCCGGUGCCUACUCAACCGAGCACCACGUACCUUAUUUUUUUCUCUAUAAGACUCGUCACGCGCCAUGAUAGGCCACAUCUAUAUGUAUAAUUUACAAUAUUAGAACUUAACUCACAUAACUAAUCCAAAAAAAAAGAUUUAUAUAGAUACAUAGGGGCCGACAAGGCCGUUGACAUGUCAUACAUAAAACUAUACACAUGACUUUAUCUGUAAAACCUCUAAGAAAACAUGAUCAUAAUAUGUAUAAGUUGGGAAAGGCUCCCUGACAUCUUCAUAAAAUAAAGUAGAACGUGACUCGGUAGUACUCUAGGAAGAUGUGGAGCUCACCAACCAAAAGCUGAUAUCUGGAGGCAACCUACAGUAGAUGGUCCUCACCUCGCCUAUCUACACCUGUGUGGCAUGAGACACAAUGCCCCAGGAAAAGGGACGUCAGUACAAAGAAUGUACCAAGUAUGUAAGGCAGAAAUGAAACAUAUACGUAAUAAUAAUAAGAUACUAUCUCGGGGAGAGAUAAAAGUCAACUUAUAACUUCUGACUUGCUGCUGAGGGCCAUAACAUAUAGAAUAAAACCCAUUCGUAUAUAUAAAUAAUACUAAGAUAUAGUAGUUCUGAUUACAUCAUUCUCGUGGCGUUAACUUCCCAACUGAUCAGUGGUAACUUCUCGACCAGUCGUCGCACAGUGGUAAAUGUAUGACUGCCCGACCGGCCGUAGCUCGGUGGUAUUUAUGUAAUUUCCCAACCGGCCGUAGCUCGGUAUUAAAUGCAUGACUUCCCGACCGGCCGUAGCUCGGUGGUAAAUGAAUAUGCAUGAGUGCCCAACCGGUGGUAAAAAUGAUACAUAACUACCCAACUGGUAGUAACUGCCCGACCGACCAUAGUAAAUGAAGAUGCAGGACUGCCCAACUCCGUAAAAUAGAACCCGUGGAAUGUUACUACAAAUAUCAUGACGGAGAAGAUCUGUGGAUUUGAAUUUUCCAGAAAUAUUGGGUGAUUAAGGACAACUUAACUUUCACUAAAAGUGUAACUAAGAAAGUUUGCAAUUCUAACAAAUAAACUUGCUAGUUAUUUUUCAAAAAUUCACAAGGAUAACAUUAGCCAAAUAUUAUUUUACUUUACUUAUUUUUGAAAGGCUAGACAUCCAUUAAUGAUAAACUCUAGAGGUGAGCCGUUUAUGAACACAGUGAUAUAUUCGGCAACAUUGCUAUAGCACCAUUAGAAGAGCCACCCGGUUCACACAAACUCCACCUUUGAAAAGAACCGUGACAUUAAGAAAACCAAAGGCUUAUUGAUCAUUGAAACUUGAAAAAUAAGAAGCUACGAACAAAAAAAGAAGCUAUAAUAUUAAGGAAAUUGCAAAGUUAUGAAGUAAAAUGCGGAAAGAAAACUAAAUAUGUACAAAAGGGGGGUUUAGAUGAAUAUACAUAAGAAGGAAUGAAUAUAUACAUGAGAGUAACUUUAUAUAUAGACCAAACUAGAACAAUAAUGAAAAGUAAAAUAAAAGGUAAAGUUAUAUACAUACCAAGAGUGAAAUAUAAGCAUGAAGAAAGAAGAUAGUGUCAUAAUUACAGUCAAACUACCAAAUCAAAAAUCAAAGUAGGGCCACCCCCUCAAAUGAAAGCUAGCAUUUUCCUCAAUGCUGACUAACCAAAAAUAAGCUUAAAAAGAAAGAUAGAGAGUGAAGAAAACUCCCUAUGGAUCCUCUGUCUGCAUGGGGUCCUGUGGUAGCAUGGGAUCCUGUGGCUGGGCACCUGGAUCAGCUGUCCCGGGGGCCUGUGGCUGGCCAAAAGCAGCAUCCUCCACCUCUGCCAACUCAAUCUCAACAUCAUCCACUUGGGGGAUAAUCCUCCUCCUCUUUGGAGCUCUCUUAAUCUCCUACUCUGGAACCUGCUCUAUUUGAGUUGCUGAGGCUGAUCAUGCAAUAGUAGCUGCAAAGGCAAAUGGUCAACUGCGUUCAUCUUCUCCACUUCUCCCCUCAAUUCCUUAACCGACUCUUUCGAUGCCCGCAUCUUCUUCUGCUUAUUUGUGUAUUUGCUCAGCUCCUUAUGUAUUUUCCCUUGAUCAUCAAGAACAUCCAUUAUCAGCUUUUGGUUAUCAAGGAGAUUUUUCUGAUUGUCCAGAAGCUCUUUGAAAGUCUCCUCUACCAAAGCUGGCACCUGUGGCUGUAGGGGAACUGGCUGAGCUGCCACUGAACUAGAGAGUACAGACAGCUUAGAAGUUGCUGCCUACAUCCAGUUGUUGAUACUGGAGAGUAUUUGGCUCAAUCUGUGGGCAGUCAACGGGUAUGCUGAGGAGGAUGGAAUAUCUGGAGGGGUGGAAGUAUAUGGUCCGGAGGCAGGCUUUGGUAUGGCAGUGGGAGGCUGAGAAGAAGUGACUACUACUACUACUGGCUCUUCAGACUGGCCAAUAGAAGUAGUGGCUUUUCCCUUGGAUUCUUUGGCUUUGGGGUUGUCCUCAGCCUUGAGGUUGUACCAUGAAAAGGGCAUCUUGGGUUUCACCUUCAUGUCAAAGUUUCUUUUCUCCACCUCCUGGUCUUCCAAAUACAUUGUAAGGAACUUUGGGAAAAGGGUAUGAUCUGUCACCCUCAUUGACCACCCUAGUGAUCACCCUAGACAUGACAUUUCCGACAUUUAUCAGGAACCCCACCAUAAUAGUUGGCACUAAUAUCGCCCGGGAGACCAGCAUGGAGUUUUCAUGGGUAGUGGGGUCCAGCUUGCUGCAUACAAAAGUCUCCCACCCCUUCGCCUCAAAGUUUAAGGUUUUCCUCAAGAUAGGAACCCCUGUUGUCACCUAUGCUGGGGUGGUGCCCGGGAGAGCCAGAUAUGAUGCCAACCAUGGACGGGCUGCCUGAUCAAGUGCUAACUUCUCCAAGUACAAUGCUUCAUUUUCCUCAUUAAAGCCCAGGUAUUCAUUUAUUGUCUUCCCAUUAAACUUCACUUUCAAGUUCCGCACUUUAGUCACUUUGGUAUCCUUCUUGAUGUGAGAAGUAUUGGCGUAAAACUCUUUGACUAAGUGCUCGUUUGCCUUUGAUACCCUGCUGGUGAAGUAAUCCCACCUCACUCGUUCAUUGAAUUGCUAUUUUCCCGUUGGGGUUGUGUGGCAGGAGAUCCCUCUCUAUGAACUGGCACUCAUGAAUACGUACCCUUAGAGGCCACCAUUCCUAAAACUUGAGCUCACUGACGAACUGCUUUUGCCACACCUCGGGGUUUCUAGUUCUUUCCACACCCCCGGGUUGGGGCCACCCCCUCCCUCUUCAUCCGGUACCCCAACAUCUACAUCCUAUCCAGGUAACGAAGGCGUAGGUAAGGUUGAAGCUGAACUAUCACUGCUCUCUGCUGAACCCUCAGACGACUCAGAAGAAAUAUGAACUAAAGCACGAGCAGUAGAGAAGGCUGGAGGUGUAAGUUCAUCUCUCAACCUAAGUCUCCCGAGGAAUUCUCGAACAUAUUCUGGCAUUGAAUCAGACUCUGAUGCCUCCCGGGAGUGCAAGUACUCACUUCCCCCAGAAUGGGAAGCAGCUCUAUUUGCAACUGUAAUGAUUUUUCUAGUUUCCCCAAUUGCUUUCUGAACUGCUAGGGUCAAUUAAAUCAUGCCUCGUCCCCUACUUCGGGAGGACUCUGCUCUACCCUUUUGUUUAUCACCACCUCCUCUAGAUUUAAUCAUUGUCUGUAUGUAUAAUUAGUUGAAACUUGUUAGUGCAAAGACUAGAAGAAGCAGUGCAAGUUGACAGUGCAAGACAAAACAGCAGACCGCGGACCGCGAAAAAUGUACCGCGGCCGCGAAGAGGUGGGAUUCAGACUACCCACUUUCUGAUUCAACAGCACCGUGGACCGCGGAAAAUGGAGCACGGCGCGGUAAGUGCACCGCGAACCGCAAAAAAUCAAUCGCGGCCGCAGUCACUCAAAUGUACCUCUCUGAACUUUAUCAUCGCGGACCGCAGAAAAACCAUCGCGACCGCGGAGAGGCACUACUAUCAGCAAAAAAUGCCAUCGCUGAACGCGAUUAUCAAGACUUAAAAAUAUCACAAAAGAUAGAUGACCGCAGAAAAAUAACCGCAGACUGCGAAGGUCAAAUUUGGGCUCAGCACCUAGGGUUUCGAAUUUUUUAUGCAUUUUAGCAUUAAUCAAUACAUUAUCAAUCCACUAGGUAGUUAAUAACCUUUUCUGACUAAUUAAAACCUAAUCUAAUUAUCACUAUGGAACCCUAAGUCAAAAUUGAAAGAAAAAAAGAAGAAGGAGAAGUAAUAACUAUCAAUUUAAAAGAAAAUACGAACAAAAUUAAAGACUAAGGGUUGAUUGGAAGUACUAGAUGUGAAGUGUGAAACAAAUUCAACUCAGUUCUUAUUGUUGUGCAAGCUAGGGCAAGAGUAAAUAGUAGAUUAUGUUGAUUGAGAGUGCAAAGGGCGAAAAAUGUAAAAGGGGGCCCUGAGGUUCUAUUUAUAGACAAGCCCUGGGUCCCACUUAUUCUUACCUACCGCGGUCGCGGUAAAUGCACCGCGGACCGUGGUUGUGAAACUCAGAAGGGCUGUUACUUUGAGACCACCGCAAAUCGCAAAAAAUGCUUCGCGACAGCGGUAAGCCACCGCUGACCGCUAAAAAUGCACCGAGGCAGCGGUUAAAACUUCAGAGAGCCUCCACUUUUGACCUUUUAGCACCGCUGACCGUGAACAAUUUCCUCCUCUGCGAUAAGGCCAUCACGAUCGCGAAAAAUCGAGCGUGACAGUGAUCCAAACUUCAGAGAGUGCCAAAUUUUUCCAGAUUAUUCCUGCACUGCAUCAAACAUCCCUAUACAUAUCUCACAACCAGUUAAUUCAAAACAAAUCCUACUCUAAGAAGAAAAUCAAAGAAAAAUAAAAAGAAAAACACAUGGGUUGCCUCCUAAGAAGGUCCUGAUUUAAUGUCACGGCACGACGCAUGUUACCAUCAAUCACUUGAGAUGGAUCAGUGCCAGCACGUGGCUGUCUUCAAACUUGCCAAGAUAGUGCUUGACUCUGUUCCCAUUAACUCUGAAGAUCUCACCAUUUUUGUUUUUCAAAUCAAGGUCACCAAACGGAGUCACAAGCAUCACCUCAAAAGGUCCACUCCAUUAUGAUUUAAGAUUACCCAGAAACAGUCGUAACCGGGAAUUGAACAAGAGAACCAAAUGUCCCACUUUACCGGUAGUGAACUUUUUGAUAUCGGGGUCGGAUUCUGAUUUCAAAAGUUGGAGUAGGUCCGUAAUAUGAAUAUGACUUGUGUGCAAACUUUGGGGUCAAUAGGACAUGGUUUGAUAAGUUUUGGCAUCAGAUGUAAAAAUUUGAAGUUUCAAGUUCAUUAAGUUUUGAUUGGGGGGUGAUUCGUGAUUUUAGCAUUGUUUGAUGUGAUUUGAGGACUCAACUAAGUUCAUAUGGUGUUUUGGGACUGGUAGGUAUAUUUGAUUGAGUUUCGGGGGACUCGGAUGUGUUUCAAAUAGUUAACAGAUUGGGAAUUGAUUUUGGAAGAUGUCUGAAGUUCUGUGAUCUGGUGCAUCUGGUUUCCUUAUACGCGAUCGCGAGAGAUGGUCUGCGAUCACAUAGGCUAGCAGGGCGAAAGGAUGGAUUUGUUCUUUGCGUUUGCAGACAGGACUAUGCAAAUGUGUAUUAGUGUGAGGUGGUGCUUCGCGAACACGUGGCCAAGGUUCCAUCCGUGUAGUGUUAAGUAGACCAAAGCUGGGCCACACGCUUUUCUCAUCAUGAACGUGUGGGCUUGUUCGCAAUCGCGUAAGUAUGAGAGUUAGUGAAUCGCGUUUGUGUGGAGUUUUCCACUUUUGUGUAGGGUUAAAUUAUAAGGCAACGAAGUUGUGCUUCGCGACCGAGAGGCUAUUUCGCGAUCACGAUUAAGGAAUCACUAGGCAGUAUUAAACAUUUCAAAAUCAAGGGUUUGGCCAUUUUUAUCAAAACUUGAGUUUGAAAGCUCAAAUUUGGGCGAGAUUUCGCGAAAUUUUCAGAGACAUCAAUUGGGUAAUGAUUCUUCACUUGAUUUUGGUUAUAUCCCAAUAAUCUAUCAUUAAUUUUAUCUUUUAAUUUCAUAUUUGGGUUGAAAGUUUGGAAAAAAUGGGAAGAAGUUCUUCAACUAAGAUUUUGGGUUUUGAUUGAGAUUUUGAUGUCGGAAUUGGAUAAUUUUAGUACGAGUGAACUCGUGAGUGAAUGGGUGUUCAUAUUUUGUAACUUUUACCUGAUUCCAAGACGUGGUCCUGGGGAGACUUUUUAGGGCGAUUUUCUAUUUUUUUGCUCAAGCUUUGAUUUCAUUAAUUAGAUUAGUUUCUUGUAGUUUUAUUCAUAGUAUGCUAGAUUUGAGCCAUUCAAAGUCAGAUAAUCAUGGAAAAGACAUUGUUACCAAUUGAUUGACUUUGGUUCGAGGUAAGUGGCUUGCCUAACGUUGUGUGGGGUAACUACCCCUUAGGAUUUGGUACUGCUAUGAUAUGUGAGCAUCGUGUACGUGAAGUAGAGUGCGUACACGGUCUAUUUGUUGUAAAACUCCAUUUUUCACUAAGUAAUAACCUGUUUCACUUUAAUUGAGUUAUACUAGCAUGUGUAAUUAUCAUGUUUAGCCUAGAAUAACAUCUCUACUUGUCUUAAAUGCUUAUCUGAACUCUGUGCAGCAUGCUUAGUGGAUUCCGUGCUCUCCCUUGACUUGUACUUAAUUUAAAUUGUAGGAUUUCAUGUUGUAUAUGUUAUUUCCAUUGUUUGAGCUGCCUUUUUACUUUGGACUAUAGAAUGGUAUUUCGGGAGAUCCCCCUGCAUAUAUGCUCUGGGACUACGGGAUAGUAUUCCGUGAGAUCCGCCAUGCAUAUUCACUUUGUGACUACGGAACAGUAUUCUAGGAGAUCCCUCUACACAUUUAAGUUUGGGACUACGAGACGGUAUCUCGGGAGACCCUCUGUUGUUAUUUCUGUGUACUGUAUAGUUAUCCUUAUGUGAUUUCUUUCUAGUUAAAUUUCAUUACUUCUUUAACUACGAUAUUUUGUUCCGUAUAUAUAUAUAUAUAUAUAUAUAUAUAUAUAUAUAUAUAUAUAUAUAUAUAUAUAUAUAUAUAUANNNNNNNNNNNNNNNNNNNNNNNNNNNNNNNNNNNNNNNNNNNNNNNNNNNNNNNNNNNNNNNNNNNNNNNNNNNNNNNNNNNNNNNNNNNNNNNNNNNNNNNNNNNNNNNNNNNNNNNNNNNNNNNNNNNNNNNNNNNNNNNNNNNNNNNNNNNNNNNNNNNNNNNNNNNNNNNNNNNNNNNNNNNNNNNNCACAAUUGCUGCUAUUACAGAGACUUCAAGGUACAUCUGCCUAUGUCCACAGACCUCGAAGUCCCCUUUUAUCCCUUCUGAUGUUGUUUCCUUUUUAUUUCUUCUAUUACUGAUGUAUAUAACAAUAGACAAAAAUCUUAGAAGCUUGUGACUUACGGUGUUCCGGGUCUUGGGAGAUUUUGUGUAUAUCCGAGAGUGGUCGUUGUAUAUGUUGAGCGGCACUUAUAUCAGCGUUAAAUUAUCUGUUACAAUUAGUUGUAAAUUUUAUGUUUUCAUUUCAUUAUUCCGUAAAUGUUAGUCUUACCUAGUCGUAGGGUCUAGGUGCCAUCACGAUAUCUUAGGAGGGAAGAUUUGGGUGGUGACAGGUUGGUAUCAGAGCUCUAGGUUUAUAGGUGUCGUGAGUGACAAGCUGAUUAUUUAGAGUCUCAUGGAUCAAUACGGAGAUGUCUGUACUUAUCUUUGGGAGACUAUGAAAUGUUAGGAAAGUAACACUUCUUUGAUUUCCUUGUCAUGCGAAAAUUUGUUGACUUCGAAAUUCUAAACUUCUGUCUUCUAUUCUCUCACAUAUGGUGAGGACACGUACAGCCGGAGAUGACCAGGCCCCCGUGCCCCCUGCUAGAGCCACCAUAGACUGGGGCUGGGGUAGAGGCCCAGGACAUCUACGUGGUGCAACUAGAGCACCCACACGAGCUGCCACAAAGGAGCUACCAGUAGCUCUAGUCGGAGUGUAGGCACCUAAGAUGUGUACUACUACUGCACCAGCUCUUUAGGAGACCCUUGCACAAUUCAUGAGCAUGUUCAGUACUCUAGCUCAGGCAUGGUUUAUUCCCCUUGCUCCUGCCACAUCUCAGUCUGGAGGAGGAGCACAGACUCCUGCCGCCCACACCCUAGAGUAGUGGGUUCAGGUUGAUCAGAUUCCAGAGGUUAUACCGGUGCCACCUGCAGCCCCAGUUCAUUCCGAAAGUAGGGUAGCAAUUUCUGAGGAGGAGCAACAUAGGCUCGAGAGGUACAAGAAGUACCACCCUCUUACCUUCAGUGGUUUGGCGGCAGAUGAUGCUCAAGGAUUUCUAGAGGAGUGCCACCGUAUCCUCCAAACUAUGGGCCUAACAGAGUCGAGUGAGGUUUCUUUCACUGUGUUUCAGCUUAAAGGAGCAGCCUAUCAGUGGUGGCAUGCUUAUGAGUUGGACAGUCUAGCUGAGGAGGCUUUACUUACAUGGACUCAGUUCUCGGACAUGUUUUUGAGGGACUAUGUUCCCCAAAGCCUCAGAGAUGCAUGGAGCACCGAGUUUGAGCAGUUGCGCCAGGGUGCUAUGACUGUGUCAGGGUAUGCAGUUCGUUUAAGUGAUUUGGCUAGACAUACACCAGUUGUGUUUUCUACAAUUCGAGAGAGGGUCCGUUGAUUUAUCGAGGGGCUCCAUCCCAACAUCAAGACUAACAUGCCCGGGAGUUAGAGAUGGAUAUUUCAUACUAGUAGGUUGUGAGUAUUACUAGGAGAGUGGAGGGCAUGCUUUCUCGGGAGAGAUAGGAGAGAGAGGCCAAGAGGUCUCGAGAGUUUGGCCAUUAUUCUAGUGCUCGUGCCCCAGCUGUAGUUCGACAUGGUAGGGGCUAUGUGAGUCGCCCCGUUCAUUCAGCUCUUCCAGCUGCUAGUGGUAUUCUAGCUCCUCCUAGGCCCUAGAAUCCUUAUUAUGCACCUCCAGUAUCUAGUAUGCCUUCUGCACGGGUGCUUUUAGCGGUUAGUCCAGUAGACCUGGCCCGAGCCAGCCACAUCAUCCAUGCCCUCCCAAACCUUGUUUUGAGUGUGGCGACACUUUCCAUAUGGUAAGGGAUUGUCCCAGACUUAGGAGGGGUGUGCCUCCACAGUCCUAUCAGGCAUGACAUGCUACACAGGGUCCCUAGUCUAUGAUUACAGCACCCGCUACCACUUGACCUGCUCAACCAACUCGAGGUGGAGGCUGGGGAGGUAAAGGUCGCCCUAGAGGGGGAGGCUAGGCCAGAUACUAUGCUCUUCCUACUCAUACAAAGGUAGUUGUUUUAGACUCUGUCAUUAUAGGUAUUGUUCCGGUCUGUCAUAGAGAUGCGUCAGUUCUAUUCGAUCUAGGUUCCACUUAUUCCUAUGUGUCAUCUUAUUUUGCCUUGUAUUUGGGCGUAUCUCAUGAUUCUUUGAGUUCUCCUAUUUAUGUGUCUAUGCUUGUAGGAGAUUCUAUUGUUGUUAACCAUGUGUAUCGGUCAUGUUUGGUUGUUAUUAGUGGUUUUGAGACCAGAGCCGAUUUAUUAUUGCUCAAUAUGGUAGAGUUUGAUAUUAUCUUGGGCAUGAACUGGUUGUUACUCCAUUAUGCUAUUCUUGGUUGUCACGCCAAUAUCGUGAUGUUGGCUAUACUAGGCUUACCGUUAUUAGAGUGGAGGGGUACCUUAGGUUACACUCUCAGCAGAGUUAUGUCAUUUCUUAAAGCUCAACGAAUGGUUGAGAAGGGAUGUUAUGUGUAUCUAGCUUAUGUGAGAGAUGUUAGUAUUGAUACCCCAACAGUUGAGUCAGUCCCAGUAGUAAGGAAUUUCUCUGAUGUGUUUCCAGCUGAUUUUUCAGGCAUGCCGCCCUAGAGAGAUAUCAACUUUGGUAUUGAUUUGUUGCCGGGCACUCAGCCCAUCUCUAUUCCUCCAUAUCAUAUGGCUCGUCCUGAGUUGAAGGAAUUGAAGGAACAUUUAUAGGAAUUGCUUGAUAAGGGCUUUAUUCGGCCAAGUGUGUCACCUUGGGGGUGCUCCUGUCUUGUUUGUGAAGAAAAAGGAUGGUUCUAUGCGUAUGUGCUUUGAUUAUCGCAAGUUAAACAUAGUCAGAGUGAAGAAAAGUAUCCUCUGCCUCGUAUUGAUGACCUAUUUGAUUAGUUACAGGUUACCAUAGUGUUUUCCAAGAUUGACUUACGUUCAUGUUAUCAUCAGUUAAAGAUUCUGGAGCCAGAUAUCUCGAAGACUGCUUUCAGGACUCGGUAUGGUCAUUAUGAGUUCCUUGUGAUGUCAUUUGGGUUGUCCAACACCCCAGCAGCAUUUAUGCAUUUGAUGCACAAUGUAUUUCGGCCCUAUCUUGAUUCAUUUGUCAUUGUGUUUAUUGACGGCAUUCUAGUGUACUUCUAGAGUCGGGGGGAUCAUGAGUAGUACCUGCGGACUGUGCUUCAGACCUUGAGAGAAAAGUAGUUAUAUGCAAAAUUCUCAAAAUGUGAGUUCUGGUUAGAUUUAGUGGCAUUUUUUGGUCACAUAGUGUCAAGUGAGGGGAUCAAGGUGGAUCCGAAGAAGGUGGAAGCAGUGUAGAGUUGGCCCAGACCAUCCUCAUCUACGGAGAUUCGAUGUUUUCUUGGUUUGGCGGGGUAUUACCAUCAUUGUUGAGGGAUUCUUAUCUAUUACAACACCUAUGACUAGGCUGAUCCAAAAAGGUGCUCCGUUCAGGUGGACAGAGGAGUAUAAGGCGAGCUUUCAAAAGCUCGAGACAACUUUGACUACAGCCUCAGUAUUGAUAUUGCCUACAGGUUCGAGGUCUUAUACUGUUUAUUGUGAUGCGUCGUGGGUUGGUCUUGGCACAGUGUUGAUACAGGACCAUGGGGUGAUUGUGUACUCGUCCCGACAGCUGAAGGUGCAUGAAAAAGAACUAUCAUAUCCACGAUUUUGAAUUAGCAGCUAUUGUUCAUGCCUUGAAGAUUUGGACACACUAUUUUUACGGUGUCCCUUAUGAGAUCUACAAUGAUCACCGGAGUUUGCAGCAUCUGUUCAAGCAGAAGAAUCUUAACUUGCGUCAGCGGUGGUGGUUGGAGCUUCUUAAAGAUUACUAUUAUGUACCAUCCCAGGAAGGUUAAUGCAGUGGCCAUUGCCUUGAGUCGCAGGGCAGAGAGUUUGGGGAACUUAGCAUAUUUACCAACAGCAAAGAGGCCAUUGGCAUUAGAUGUUCAGGCCCUGGCCAACCAGUUUGUCAGAUUGGAUAUUUCUGAGCCGAGUUCGAUUUUGACUUGUGUGGUCCUCCAGUCUUCUCUUUAUUAUCGUAUCAGGGAGCGCCAGUAUGAUGACCCCAUCUACUUAUCCUUAAGGACACAGUUCAGCACGGUGAUGCUAAAUAGGUCACUAUUGGUGAUGAUGGUGCAUUGAGGAUGCAGGGCAGGCUAUGUUUGCCCAAUGUAGACGGAUUCUAUGAGUGGAUUCUUUAGGAGGCUCACAGUGUGUGAUACUCCAUUCAUCCGGGUGCUACGAAGAUGUAUCGGGACUUGAGGCAGCAUUAUCGGUGGUGUAGAAUGAAAGAGGAUAUAGUAGAAUAUGUAGCUCGAUGUCUAAAUUGCCAGCAGGUGAAGUAUGAGUAUCAACGACCGUGUGGAUUGCUUCAGAAGUUACAUAUUCCGGAGUGGAAAUGGGAGCGAAUCACUAUAAAUUUUGUUGUUGGACUCCCACAGACUCAAUAGAAGAUUGAUGCAGUUUGGCUAAUUGUGGACAGGCUGACCAAGUUAGCUCAUUUCAUUCCUAUGAUGACUACCUAUUCUUCCAAGAAGUUGGCUCGAGUUUAUAUCCACGAGAUUGUCAGGCUUCAUGGUGUUCCGAUAUCUAUCAUCUCAGACCGGGGUACACGAUUUACAUCACGAUUCUAGAGGGUCGUACAACAUGAGUCAGGUACUCGGGUGGAGUUGAGUACAUCAUUUCACCCUCAGAUGGACGGAUAGUCCGAGUGCACUAUUCAAAUUCUAGAGGAUAUGCUUCGUGCAUGUGUGAUGGAGUUUGGAAGUUCUUAGGAUCAGUUCUUGCCACUUGCGGAGUUUGCCUACAACAACAGUUAUCAGUCCAACAUUCAGAUAGCAUCGUAUCAGGCUCUAUAUGGUAGGAAGUAUCGGUCCCCAAUGGUUUGGUUCGAGUCGGGCGAGGCAAGAUUAUUGGGCACAGUCUUGGUUCAGGAUGCAUUGGAGAAGGUUAAGCUGAUUCAGGAUAGGAUUCGCACAACCCAGUCCAGAUAGAAGAGUUGUGUGGAUCGAAAGGUUCGCGAUGUUGCAUUAAUAGUUGGAGAGCGUGUCUUGCUUCGGGUUUUGACAAUGAAGGGCGUUAUGAGGUUCGAAAAGGAGGCAAGUUGAGCCCAAGGUUCAUUGGUCUAUUUGAGGUGUUGCGGCGAGUUGGGGAGAUUGCUUAUGAGCUUUCCUUGCCUCCUAGUUUGAUAGGCAUUCAUCCGGUAUUCCAUGUUUCUAUGCUCCAAAAGCACUAUAGUGACCCGUCUCAUUUGUUGGAUUUUAGCUCAGUCUAGUUGGACAAGGAUCUAUCCUAUGUUGAUGAGCCAUUGGCUAUUUUGGACAGGCAGGUUCAACAGUUAAGGUCAAAGAACAUUGCUUCAGUGAAGGUUCAGUGGAGGGGUCAGCCAGUCGAGGAGGUGACUUGGGAGACCAAGCAGGAUAUGCACAGACGUUAUCCUCAUUUUGCCACCACUUCAGGUAUGUCUCUUUGCUCGUUCAAGGACGAAUGAUUAUUUUAAGAGGGGGAAGAUGUAAUGACCCGACCGGUCAUUUUGAGAGAAAUAUCCCUGAUCCCCUAUUUUCUGCUUCCCCCGUAUCUUAUUCUACUUAGGUGACUUGCUGGGAGGUUUUUUUUGAUUUCGGAGUGUUUUGGGACACUUGGUCCCUAAACCGAAGCUUAAGCCUUAGGAUUUUGACCGUAGUCGGAACUGUGUGAAGACGACUCCGGAAUGGAGUUUCGUUGGUUCUGCUAGCUUCGUUGAGUGAUUUUGGACUUAGAAGCGUGUCCGGAUUGUGUUUUGGAGGUAUGUGGUUAAUUUAGGCCUAAAAUGGCAAAAGUCGAAUUUUUGGAGUUUUUGACCGGUAGUGGACUUUUUGAUAUCGAGGCCGGAUUCUGAUUCCGGAAGUUGGAGUAGGUCCGUAAUGUUGAAUAUGACUUAUGUUUGAUAGGUUUCGGCAACAGAUGUAGAAAUUUCAAGUUUCAAGUUCAUUAAGUAUGGAUUGGGGGGUGAUUCGUGAUUUUAGCAUUAUUUAAUGUGAUUUGACUACUCGACUAAGUUCUUAUGGUGUUUUGGGACUGGUAGGUAUGUUUGGUUGAGGUCCCGAGGGGCCUCGGGUGAGUAUCGGAUAGUUAACGGAUUGGGAAUUGAUUUUGGAAGAUGGCUGAAGUUCUGUGAUCUGGUGCAUCUGGUUUCCUUAUAUGCGAUCACGAGAGAUGGUCCGCGAUCGCGUAGGCUAGCUGGGCGAGAGGAUGGAUUUGUUCUUUGCGUGCACGGACAGGAGUAUGCGAAUGCGUAUUGGUGUGAGGUGGUGCUUCACGAACACGUGGCCAAGGUCGCAUUCGCGUAGUGUUAAGUAGACCAAAGCUGGGCCACGCACUUUGCUCAUCGCGAACGCGCGGGCUUGUUCUCUAUCUCAUAAGUAUGAGAGUUAGUGAAUCGUGUUCGUGUAGGGUUAAAUUCUGGGGUAGAUAAGUUGUGCUUCGCGAUCGUGAGGCUAUUUUUGCGAUCGCGAUUAAGGAAUCAUUGGGCAGUAUUAAACAUUUCAAAAUCAAGGGUUUGGCCAUUUUUAUCAAAACGUGAGUUUGAGAGCUCGGAUUUGGGCGAGAUUUUGAGGUAUUUUCAGAGACAUCAAUCGGGUAACAAUUCUUGACUUAAUUUUGUUAUAUCCCAAUAAUCUAUCAUUAAUUUCAUCUUUUAAUUUCAGAUUUGGUUUGAAAAUUUGGGAAAAAUGGGAAGAAGUUCUUCAACUAAGAAUUUAGGUUUUGAUUGAGAUUUUGAUAUCGGAUUUGGAUAAUUUUGGUACAAUUGAAUUCGUAAGUGAAUGGGUGUCCUUAUUUUGUUACUAUUACCCGAUUCCGAGAUGUGGGCUCGGGGAGGCUUUUUGGGAUGAUUUUCUAUUUUGUUUGAUCAAGCUUUGAUUCCAUUAAUUAGAUUAGUUUCUUGUAGUUUUAUUUAUGGUAUGUAAUUGCUUUUGGCUAGAUUUGGACCAUUCAGAGUCGGAUAUUCGUAGAAAAGGAAUUGUUACCGAUUGAUUGACCUUUGUUCGAGGUAAGUGGUUUGCCUAACCUUGUGGGGGAGAAAUCUCCUUAAGAUUUGGUACUAUUAUGAUAUGUGUUGAUACCCAAUUUUUUCAUAUAUAUUUUUAGUACAUAAAAAUACUUUCAAAAUAGCAUAUAUGCAUAAAUUAGUAUGCAUAAGCAUUUUUAUAAUUUUUUCUAUAAUUUUAAAUGCUUCAAAUUGAUUUAUUUCCUCUCUUUUUCUCAUAAAAUCUUCAAUAAUUAUCCUUCAAAUUAUUUUUGUGGUGAUUUAGCUAUCUAAAUUCUGUAUUUAUGCCAAAAUAUUAUUAAAAUAUUUUUAGUGUAUUUUUAUAAUUGCAUUUGCAUUUUCUAAAGUCAAUUUGCAUAUAUUUACAAUACUAGCCCUAUUAAUACAUAAUUAUAUUUUUAUGCAUAAAAUGAUCUUAUAUAUUUUUAAAAUAUUAAACAACUAUUUAAAUAAUUUUAGUAUACGAAAUUAUUUUUUAAAAAUCAUUUAUUAUUUAUUAUAAAUUAUAUAGUGUUAAAUUGUCUAUUUAAAACUUAGCCAAAUUGUAUUUCAAUUUCAGCCUCAAUUCAACCCAAUACCCCAGCCCAAUUUCAGAUAAAACUACCCGACCCAGGCCCUAAAUGUACCUACUUGACCCAAGAGCCCACCAGAUCAGAUCAUGGCCGUUGAUCUUUUUAGAUCAACGACCUUCGUUAAAACUUACCUUUUUUAAUUCCAAACGACUCCCAACCCUAAUCAUUUCUAUGCACCUGCCGCCCUAAAAUCCUCUCUGCUCUCAAAACACUCCAACCCAACCCUAAUCUUCAAACACCGACCACCCAUCUUCGGUGACCUCUCAUCGUUUCUUAAGCCUUCCAUGGCUUCUUUCAUGCCAUUCUUGCCUUCUCUAAGAUCCUCAAGGGCCCAGGGCCAUGACGACUUGCAUCUAGGGUUCAUCUCUUGCCUGUUCCUGGCUACUCCAGUGGGAUUCCAAGCAAAAUCAUUCUAUAUUUGCUACGAUCCUUGGGUUUCCAGACAAGUUUCUUCCUCUCUCUAUGGGUUUCUUUCGAAACCCUAAUUUUUCUUCUACACUUCCUAGAUCUGUACAGAUCUAGGACGCUUUGAGUUGUUUCUUGAAUGUUUUACACCAUCCUUGAGGUUCUUUACAAGAAUCAUGUGAUUUCAAGUAUUUUCCGUCUUCUUUUAAAACCAGGGUUUUCGGAACUUCUUUUUUAAAAACUUGUCUAAUUGAUUCUUUGUGUUUAAACUUCUAUUUCUUACAUUUUGACUGAUUCUAUGAGUCUACUACAUCUUAACUCGUCUAUGCUGAAAGCCCUAAUUUUUAGGGUUCUUCAUUUGGUUCCGUGUAUUAGCAUGACUGACCGGUUCUCGUUUUGAGUUUCUGUGAUUUCUCGUGACUAUCUUGCCUCGAUAUGUUUCUACUGAGUUUCUUAACCUAAACUUACACUGAUUCUAUGUGCUUGUGUUCAUAUUGACUGUUCAAGACUUGCCUCUUUCUCAUUGAAUCGGUAUUGUUUAACUUUCAUGUUUGCUAGAGUUGUAUGUCGACUCUUGACUAUCCAUGUCUUACUUUAUUUAUAUGCUAAAUGCUAACUCUUUUCAUAACUUUCUCUUUGAUUGAUUCUGAAUUCCUUGUUUCUUGUUUUGAUUUGAAAACUUUCCUUUAAACCUUCGAUUCUUACCUUCCUACUCAAUGUGAUUGAUUUGCUUGCCUAAACUAACUUUCAACUUACCCUGUCUGCAUGGUUACCUGAUUCUUACCGACUAUCUCCUUAAUUAGAAUUUUCUGAACCUAGCCCUAAUUGUUUACUCUGAGCCUACUAUGUUUGAAUUAUUCCUUGUCUGUUAUGCUCCUGUUACACAUUGAUUUCUUUCCUUAUUUGCUACCUGUUCUUACCGUUUGAACUGAUUUCCUUAAUUAAGGGAGUACUUGUACUAAUUNNNNNNNNNNNNNNNNNNNNNNNNNNNNNNNNNNNNNNNNNNNNNNNNNNNNNNNNNNNNNNNNNNNNNNNNNNNNNNNNNNNNNNNNNNNNNNNNNNNNNNNNNNNNNNNNNNNNNNNNNNNNNNNNNNNNNNNNNNNNNNNNNNNNNNNNNNNNNNNNNNNNNNNNNNNNNNNNNNNNNNNNNNNNNNNNNNNNNNNNNNNNNNNNNNNNNNNNNNNNNNNNNNNNNNNNNNNNNNNNNNNNNNNNNNNNNNNNNNNNNNNNNNNNNNNNNNNNNNNNNNNNNNNNNNNNNNNNNNNNNNNNNNNNNNNNNNNNNNNNNNNNNNNNNNNNNNNNNNNNNNNNNNNNNNNNNNNNNNNNNNNNNNNNNNNNNNNNNNNNNNNNNNNNNNNNNNNNNNNNNNNNNNNNNNNNNNNNNNNNNNNNNNNNNNNNNNNNNNNNNNNNNNNNNNNNNNNNNNNNNNNNNNNNNNNNNNNNNNNNNNNNNNNNNNNNNNNNNNNNNNNNNNNNNNNNNNNNNNNNNNNNNNNNNNNNNNNNNNNNNNNNNNNNNNNNNNNNNNNNNNNNNNNNNNNNNNNNNNNNNNNNNNNNNNNNNNNNNNNNNNNNNNNNNNNNNNNNNNNNNNNNNNNNNNNNNNNNNNNNNNNNNNNNNNNNNNNNNNNNNNNNNNNNNNNNNNNNNNNNNNNNNNNNNNNNNNNNNNNNNNNNNNNNNNNNNNNNNNNNNNNNNNNNNNNNNNNNNNNNNNNNNNNNNNNNNNNNNNNNNNNNNNNNNNNNNNNNNNNNNNNNNNNNNNNNNNNNNNNNNNNNNNNNNNNNNNNNNNNNNNNNNNNNNNNNNNNNNNNNNNNNNNNNNNNNNNNNNNNNNNNNNNNNNNNNNNNNNNNNNNNNNNNNNNNNNNNNNNNNNNNNNNNNNNNNNNNNNNNNNNNNNNNNNGCCUAGACAAUGAUAUUGUCUAUGGAAUUUGGCAUUUUAGGCUAUUGGAGGCUUGGGGAAAUCAUUUGGGCCUACUUUCAGGCUCCCUAUAGUGUAACUUCUAAUUUUUCUUAUCUACUUAUGUAAUUCAUGCAAUAUUGGUCUGUAAUAAUUUGUUGGAAACAGAUAUUGGGGUCAGCUAGUGAAAAGGGGAGGGUAGUCAUACAUGUUAUCAAUAUCAAUGGGUAGAAACCCCGCCUUAAGUUUACAUUUCUCUGGGGGUUUAAAAUCCAUGUUUAGGACCAAUACAUUCCAAGCAUGUCAUGCAUUACAUAUCAUGUUCUUAGGUUUAAUGUUUUAGCAUCUCACUUGACAUUGUUUUAUCACUUAGAAACCCUGCUUUAGGCUAAAUAACAGCACUAACAUAAAAUUGUUGCUUUUGCAAUCAUGCUGUAACUUUUCGGGCAUCUAGAAAUCAUGCUUAGGAAUUCUGCAUAUCCUGAAAUCAUUCUGCAUUUAUAUGUGCAUGUUAGAUACCUCUGUUUUAGGAUCUCGUUCAUACUCGCUCAGUCACACCUAGUUUAAACUGCUGGUUAUGAAAGAUGUAAAAAUAAUGUUAUCCUAUUUAAGUAAAACUGGUCAUAAUCCAUGUAUCUUUGCAACACUUAGAAUAGCAUGCUUUGGGUAAAAUAACUUCUAAACUAUUUUAAUAAUUCUGAUAACUGUUGUACAUUAUCCUACGCCUACGCAAGCCUCAGGUAAUCAACCUUUAUAAAACUAGAAACUAUUCUUUGUGUUUACUGCUUAAUGGUUAACAUGCUUAAAAUCAUUAGGCAAACUGAUUAGGGCCCCUGUUUCUGAGUUAUAAAGCAAUCUGCAUGUCUCUUGUGUUCUGAUAUCCACCUAGACAUCAUAUCUUACGAUCCCAUUAAUAAUACUGCCCUUGUAUGUGUUUGAGUCAUGCUGUUUACAUGCAUUAUCUACGGAGGUAAACCUGAGCCUCUUAUUUGCUUCUUCCUGCUUUUAUUUGCUAAAAGUCCUAUGUGUUCUUGCUUAUCACCUUAGUAUUUUCUCCUUUAAACCUUAGGGGGUCUAUCUAGAACUGCCUGUAGGUAGAGGUCCUAACCUCCUCUAGGACCAUUAAGAAGGGACGGGUAACAACACGCAAUAGAGAUCGCUAAUCGACACUCACUUUAAUAACCGCUAAGGGAUGGGAAAGGUAGAUAUGGGAUAUGAUGACUACAUGCUAAUUCCACGUGUAGCCCCUCAUCGAGGAGUGUUUAUCGGGCAUUGCAUGGGGUGAUCCUGUAGGAUAACCAACCUAGGACCCCUCCUUCCCAAAUUCCCUUUGCUUUUAAUUUUCUAUAUGUAUACAAUUUGUCUAAGACUUUUCUUUGUCUUAUUAUUUGAGUCAUAUAAUGUCUAAAACCUGCUCUUAUUUGCAAUUAUUUGUUAAUGGACUAGUUAACAAGUAUAAGUUUGGCCGGGACCCACCGUUGUGGAUCGAGAGGGGUGCCUAACACCUUUCCCUCGAGGUUAUUUCAAGAACUUACCCUAAAACUCUGGUAAUGCAAACCAAUCCAAGAGGUAAUCACUCUGGGUUCCCUAAUGCACCAUAAUCCGUUAGGUGGCGACUCUUUAAAUACCUAAUUUUCAAAAGGAAAUGAGUUAUUACCCCCAUGUAAUGACGGAACCCGGACUUCUCUCCGUGGAGGGAAAAAGGGGCGCGAUAGCAUGACGACUCUGCUAGGGAUACCUUUAGGCUCUUACCAUAAUGAACUUGUCUUUAGUGAAUCAGUCCAAGAAUGAUUUACCCCAUACCCUUUCCCUUUAUUUGAAUUUAACUACCUAUUUUAAGCAUUUAUGUUUCUUUUAUUCAUGAAACUGACUUGUCUAUUUGUUUCCUUUUUUUGUAACUGUCUUUUCAAUUAUUUAAAUGCUUAAUUUAUUUUUCUUAUGUGCAAAUACUUGACUACAUGCUAUUAGUUACUGCAUAUAUCAUGCCCACAUCAUAUUCCACUCGUGCGUAUCAAAUUCUAUAGCAACGUUUCAUGAGUGGUUGCGCUCUUCCUAUUUAUUACCCUUAAAUUCGGAAAGGCUUAUUUGUGGUAAAACCAGUCAAUCAGCAGUGCAGUCGGCGGUUCCGUGCCUUUCCCUCUCAAGUUGUCCGCUUGAGGGUACCAGUCUAAAACCCUGUAGUAACCUUACUCUGAUCAAAAUUGUGCAUGCAUCAUGGUCAAACCUAGUCGGAUCAGUUAUGUUGUCCACAUAAUGAUCUUUUAAGAUAAGCCUUAUCCAAAGUCCACCGGGGUUUCCAUAAUCCCAACGGACAUAACCACGUUACGUGCAUUAAUUUGGAGAACUAAAUGCCAAUAUGCUAAUCAUGGAUGUAUAAAUAGUCGAGUCUGAUGGGGAAAAGGCUUAACCCUUUUGUUUUGCAGAAAAUGAGGCAUGAGGUCCCCAAAUUUUGUAUGGUUAGAAACAUUCCACUAUUGCUUCUAGAUUGGUGGGAGGAUCUUUCCUCAAGUGACAAGAAACAUGUAAGGAAGUACCUGGGUAACUUGCCUUCCCUGCUAGACAUUGAGCUAAACAACAAGUUGAUCGAGGCUGCCACUUUGUUUUGGGACAGUGAGAGGUCUGUGUUCCGUUUUGGCGACAUAGAAAUGACACCACUUCUAGAAGAAAUUGGAGGUCUUGCGGGAUUGACUUGGGAUAGUCCCGGAUUAUUGGUGCCGAAAAAUCGUACCGGUAAAGGGUUCUUAAAGAUGAUGGGAUUGAAGAAGAAUGUUGACCUGGUAUGCCUGAAGGAAUCUUACAUACCCUUCGAAUAUAUGUAUGAGAGGCAUGGCCAUAGCAAGUCCUACCGUACCUACCAUGAUGAUAUAUCUCUCAAUUCUCUAGGUCACAUCCACCGUAGAGUGUUCGUGUUCAUUGUAUAUUCUUAGGCCUGUCAGUGUUCCCAAUGAAAAGGAAAAGAAUCCACACAAGGUUGUCCAUGGUUGCCAAGACUUUGAUGGAGAAGAUUAAUGGACAGACAUACACUAUAGUCCCUAUGAUCAUAGCCGACAUCUACAGGGCUCUGAAGCGCUGACAAAGAGGGGUCAAGCAUUUCGAGGGUUGUAACUUGUUACUGCAAUUGUGGUUGUUAGAACAUUUUAAAAAGGGUCACUACCGCCAAGAAUUUCCGCAAAAGGAUUGGAAUGACCAUAUUUCCUUCCAUCACCCCAAGCGGAUGACUUACAUUCCAGACAGAUUUGCUCAGCUAGAAAAUGCCAAAGAAUGGGUAGAGUUCUUUGACAAUCUGACCGACGAACAAGUGCAAUGAAUGUUCGAAUGGUUCCCGGUAGAUGAUUUUAUCAUCAGAUCCAGAGACGCUACACACUUGAUGUUGAUUGGGUUUAGAGGGAUAUACCCUUAUGUCCCUAUCCAAGUUAUGAGGCAAGCAGGCAGGAAACAGGUUGUACCAAGGGUUGCCUAGAUAAGUCAUUUCAGGGCAGGUUUUUAAGACGACGACGUCCCUUACAAGUGCCAAGCCCAGCACAUGUGGCACUACAAAAUCAUUGUGGAAAAAGAAUACCAUCGAUCCAGAGAGAUAUCAUGCGGGAUACGAGCCUCUCUACCCAGCAUGGCUAAAAGACAAUCUAAAAGUAAUAGUGAUGCCAUGAGGUGGUCGAGGGAAUAGAGUCAUAGAUGAAGAAGCUGAAGCUCAAGCCAAAUACAACAGGCUGCGCAAGAGGGUCCACGACUCUGAGAAUGUGCACCGAGAAAUACAUGAGAGGAAUGCGAGGUUGAUUGAAGAAUGGAAAGAAAUGACAGUCACUUCAAAUAGGAAGUUGGAAUAUCUGGAGCGAGGAAUAGUGGAGCUGGAAGGUAAAGUCAUAAAGAGGAUCGAGCAUUGCCAGAUUGCUGAAGGAGCUGAAGGAGGACAUCUGGACAGAGCCUACUUGCUGUUGGGUCUACGCGAGCUGGGGAACCUGUAUGAUGGAGUCAGGAAGAUCGAAUCUGGGGAAGGUCCUUCUGGGACCAAGUAGGCUAGAUUUAUUUGCUUGCUUAAAAUUUAAUAAGUCCAAGUGCCAGUAGUGACUUAUUUUAUUAUCUUAGUGUCGUUUUGGGACUCGUCUAUUUUUAUAUUAUGAAAUGAAGCAUUUAUUGGCGUUUAAAGUUCUCCAAAUUUAUUUGUCGCUAGUCCUACCUCGGGCACAAUGAGGCUCCCAAAUUAAUAUGCAAAUUUACAUUUCCGCGAUAUGUGUUUUAAUACUGCAAACAUUUCAGGAUCCUCACUGACUUGUCACCUUUUUGUUUUUUCUUUAUUUUGAUUAUUCCCAUACCCUUAGGUUGGUUUACUCAUACUGGCCUCAUCAGCGUAUCACACCAGAUCUAGAGGCCCUCCACCUCCUCCUCCUCCUCCUCCA